AUCUGUUUAAAUAGGUUUGGGGAAGAAAGUGAUAGUCCCGAUUUGUCCUGGACUGUACUUUCUUUUUUUUCUUUUCAUCCUGCUGUCCAGUGUUGCCAAACCCACCGCACCCAACAGAUCAGCACAUAUCAGACACACUGGAGCAAUAUUUCAAUGUGUUACAGCAAGGCCGUAUAGAGACUGGCCACAGAAGGGCAAAAGAAGAAGAACAUGGAAACUUGGACGAUGGAAUAAGAAACUGUUUUGAACUCGUGCCGGAUAUUUUGGUGAAAAGCAAGUCAUACCUGAAAAGCUUUAGGGAUUCGGAGCAUUGCUUUAGAUGAACGCUCGUCAGUUCCGUCGCUGCCUAUAAUGUGUUCGAAAGGUACUGCAAAGUUUUCGUUAUUAUAUUUUGUCUGACAUGUCCCUUCUAGCCUGAAUGCCUUGUUGUAUUGUAGGCUAUUAAUGACAUAUGAUAAAGCAGCCUAUUGCUGAACAAAAUUUACUUUCACUUUUACUUUCAAGUGUUUUCCGUUAUUUGCUUAUUGUUUUAAAACCAACUUUUGAAUACAUAUUCAACGCCCAUGGUUUACAUGAUUAAAAAAAUAAAUAAAUAAGAACAAAAACAAAAAACAUGGCGGCAGUGGUUGGAGUAAUCGAAUAAAUAUUUCUUAUAACUGCGCUGAACUGCAUGAAGCGCGUGUACCGUUAAAUAAGUGCGUGCGUUCUCGAGCAAGCUACUUAUUGUAAGCUUAUAUUCUUUUUAAAAAGCACUGCUCACAUACAUAAUUAUUGUUAAAGCUAGAAAAUUAGAAGAUUCUACUCUUUUAUUGCAUGGACGGAGCAAGAAUAUAACGCAAGUGCUUGAAAAGCACGUUCAGCUCAGCUGGGUGAUAAAAGUUAGUCCUCAGUAAUGCUGUUAAACUGAAUGUACGAUGCAUUGUCUGUAAGAAGUUCUCAUGAAAUAUCUCCAAUUAAAACAACACUGAAAUAAUAGCGCGCGGUUAAUAUGAUGCACGUAGCCUACAGAACCGUCCCAAGACAGCUGUGCCAAGUGUGUGACAAUACAGGGCCUUGCCUCAAAUUAAAGUGAGAGAUUUUAAAGUUAUGAUAGCUAAAAAUCACAGCUAACAGUGAGACAGUGUGUAUGAUGAUAAUUCUGCUUAUUAAAAAUGUAUUUGGCUUAUGAAGUAGAACUUGGUCGAUGUUUGGCAAAAAACCACGAGGGGCCGAAAAAUUGUUCAAGACUUUUUCAGGAAAUGGAAAAGAACACUGUGUAAUUUUAAAUAAUUAAUACAUUGUAAGGGAUUAAACUGUUGAUAUUUUGGCUUCAUAUAUGGACAGACAAUUGCAUGUGUCAUUAUAUUAUUGACAUUUUACCAAAAUCAAGCUAAAGUGGACCAGUGAAUGUCUGACAUAUAGGCAGCGGCAAACCUAUUAAGUGGGGCCCCAGGCAAAAUUAAUCAUUGAGUUAUACAAAGAUAUUGUUAAUCAACAUACAACAAGUAUUUAAAACACAUGUAACAUAACAUAAAUUGCUUUUUUUUUUUACAUCAUUAUAGUGCUUUUUUUUAUUAUUUAUUAACAACAUGUCUUUAUAAUAGAAGAUUCAAUACAAUAUAAUCUUCAAGAUACAGUACAAUCUUCAUAUUUAUAACCGUAUAUAUAGUACAAAUAUAAGGUUAGAAUCUUUAUUUUAUUAUUGGCAGAGGCUAUUUACACUAAGUGUAGAUGCUGUUUUUUAAGAUGCUUUUAGGUGCUAUUUACAGUAAGCAAAAAUAGCAUGUUUCUUAGCAAUAUAUGCUAUUUACACUAAGUGCAAAUAACAGUAGUAUUUUCUUUGCAAUAAGCGACAUGACAGGUUAUGGUUGAUUACUUCCACCAGUGUGUGAUUAGCUUGUUUGUGGUUACCUAUAUAAGCCCUAUAUGUGUUCACGCUCUCUUUGCAAUCUUGCAAUCAUCUUUUUUCCCUGUCGUGAAGCAUAUCUGAGUGAAAUGAAGCAACAUCGUGUUUUAUCACACCCAAGCACAAACUCUAGUACUCUUCCGCACAAUGGAAAACCCCAAACCGAAACACUUUCAACUGUGCAUACAAAAGACAUAACUGAACAAUGAAUACUGACAGGUCUUUUCCUUUACUUAAAAUUGCAUGAAAUAAUAAUUUUAAAGGGGUCAUAUGAUGUUGCUAAAAAGAACAUUAUUUUGUGUAUUUGGUGUAAUGCAAUGUGUUUAUGCUGUUUAAGGUUCAAAAAACACAUUAUUUUCCACUUAAUGUACAUUAUUGUUUCUCCUCUAUGCCCCGCCUUCUGAAACGCAUCAUUUUUUACAAAGCUCAUCAUUCUGAAAAGCAAGGUGUGCUCUGAUUGGCCAGCUAUUCAGUGUGUUGUGAUUGGCCGAAUACCUCAAACAUAUGACGGAAAUGUCAUGCCCUGAGAUGCGUGUCCUGGUCAGAACACCCACUCAAAAAAAGGACUUUUGCUAUUUGUUCAAUUUCAUUAAUUAAAAUGAGCACAUACAAAACAACUCUUGGCAAAAAUGGUCCCAACUUAAUUUUAUUAAACAUAACCAAUGUAAUUUAAAAAAAAUUAGGUUUACAGCAUUUUUUUAAAUUGAGUCAACACGAAUAUUUUUCGUUCGUCAUAACCGGAUGCACGUCAUCAACUGAAACUGUGACGCAGAUGGAUUGUUCAGAGGCGAACAUGGGAGACGGAUAAAUGCUGAAUUUCGUCGGAUCACAACCCUUCCUUUACAGUCCAAAUUCCUGUCCCAACUGAAUCGGUUCUCUGAUGAUCUCCUAAAAGUGUGUACCAAAAGGGUGGAGUGUUUAGAAAAAGGAUUCAGGAUGUGAUGGUGCCAAUGUCUCAGAAUGCCACCAUAGAGACCAAGCGAGAGUGCAUUCUCAAGCGGCUGUGCAUCUACCUGAAUGAAGAUCCACAGGAUGCGGUGAGGGAGUAUUUGGAUGUUGACCCUGCGAGCACUGAAGCGGACAUCAAGAAGACCGUUUUGGGGAUCUGUGUUGUAAAGCAUGAAUUUGCUGAUGCAACAGAAGACCUGAAGAUAUCAGCAUUGUGCUGGAAGGUGUGGAGGUGCUCUCUGCUUUAGGUAAUGUAGCAUUGGCUACAGCCAUGCUACUUGGACUAAUAUACUCUUUAAAUCUUACUUAUCCACAGGAGUUCCAUUACACUUUUAAGGUGCUCCAAAAAAUGAUUCUGGAGCUGGACUCGCAUAAACUGUCUGCCAAAGCACAGGCACUGAAAACAAAACUCUUCACUUAGAAGGUGUGAGCAGUGCUGUGUUUGAGGAUCCCUUUGUGAAUGCUGUGUUUUAUUUUCUUGUAUGCUUGUGUUCUUGUUGUAUCGCCAUUUUUGCACGGUGAGCAGAGGUGAUUAAGUCUCUCAAUCUCUCAUUUAAUUGGCUCACUCAUUUAAUCUCAUG
ensembl:lncRNA